rnacentral:lncRNA from 1 species
ACAGAAACGCCGCUUGGCCUUUGGACUACACCAUCUGUCGCUCGCUCUAACGAGCCGGCGUUGCCGCCAGGGGACGCUCGGGCCGCAGGAGGUCGCUGGGUCGUGAGCUGGCGCCGGGGACGCCGAGCGACUGCGGGGUUUCCCUCAGCGUCCUGCUAUCCGGCUGCCCGCCGCGCUCCUUGGUAGUGUCCGUGGGCGCGCAGGCCUUGAAGAACCUCCUCGUGGCGGGACCCCGAGCGCAGGAGAGGUGUCAAAGAGCUGGCGCGUCUCCAGAGCCCCGGGAGGAAGGCUGUAACGGCAGCCCCAUCGUAGACAGGGACAUUCGCAUCCCGAGCCCUGGAUCUCUGAAAACCAGCCCAGAAUUUGGAAGCUGGAAGGAACUUUAGAUCGUCCAUUCUGAGUGUCUCUCUUCGCUGGCGUUUUCCCACUGAGGUUAUGUAAACAUGAAGAGGAGCCUACAAGUGUCAAGGAAAAAACGACAGCUAACCACAGGGCAGGCCAUGGGCAAGAUAUCUCAGUGUUCUCCGCUCUCAUAGGUCAGGUCACGACCCCCAGGAGACCUGGAGGACUGAAUGCUGCUGCCCCCAAGGAGGAGGCUGCCGUCUUAUCCCAGGAGGGAGAGCAGGUGAAGUCCCCAGGGGAGGAAGCACCUAGCCCCAUUCCUGCUGAGCAGGAGGUGGCAGGUACCCCAGACUGGGAGGUAAGGACAGCCCGGGGCUUCGACUGAACGUCUCCAGCGUGGGUCCAACUGAGCAGCCAUGGAGCACUGCAGAGUGGGAGGCAGCAGGGCAGGGAGGCAGUGCUGGAGGCUGGCUCAACCCCAAGCCUGUUUCCCUGUCUGUGCAACACAGAACCUGCCUGAUCUCACUGCUGGAUCCCUCUUCUUCCUGCCAGGAAAAUAAAAAGGUUCAAAAGGAAGUUGCUGCGUAUCCAUCUGAGGCCUCUGAGGACAGCAAAGAGCAAAGGCCCUGGGACCGGGUCUACGUGCCCAUGACAGAGCUCUGGCUGGACUGGUUCUGAGCCUCUAACACCCCCAAGACUCAGAACCGUGAAGAAAAUCUUUCCAAUAAAUCCAAGAGUUGCUGCUGCUAUAGGCCAGGCUGCCACCUUUCGGGGCCUCCGUCUUCAGACAAACCCAGCCUGGCUUCAUCCACACUCCCUGUCCCCACAGCUGCAGGAACAGCACUUCCUGCCACCGAGCCGUGUGACCACAGUGGAUUGUCUCUGGAGGGGCCCAAGGGGGCCCUGGCCACCCUUCUGACUGACUCGGUGCCAGGGGACAGACCAACGUCCCUCUCGUGCUGACAGCCGGGCCGCACCCUGGCAUGAGGGCAUUUACAGAAAUGCUGGCGGAACUGCUGCCAGGGAGGCUGUAGGGUCCUCUGGCAAAAGAGGCCUCAGGUGGCUCCUCAGAGUGUCUGUGGUUCUCUGUCCCAGGCUGUUCCCUAAGAAGGUCUGCCCAGGACUCAGGUAAUCAUAUGCUCAUUAGAAACUCUUGGGCACUGCCUGUGUGCCCAGCCCAGCCCAUUAUGUCGGUGAGGACAGACGUGGAGGACAGCAGUCCCUGCCCUUGGUUGGGGCUCCAGGCCAGCAAGGGCCACAGCCCCAGAAGGCAGAGCAGGAAGACAGGACUCGGGGCAGGUGAAGCAGCCUUCUCGUUGGCAGAAGGGAAACAGAAGCCCGGGGUGGGGAAGGGUGGGGAAGGGUGGGGAAGGGUGGGCCCGGGGUCACACGGGGUAAUGGCAGAGCAAGGACUAGGGUCAGGGUCUCUGGCUCUCAGCUGCCCAUGCCACCUCCUCCUUCUCUGCCCGCCCCAGUGCCUUAUGGGUCCAAGGUUGACUCCUGUCCCUAGGGCAGGCCUGUGGGCCCUGCCUGAUCCCUACUGGGAGGAUGGUACCUAGGGUUGGAGCCAAACAAGUGUCCUCCUCCAGCGCCAGCCUGGCCCUGAGUGCGAACUCGUCACUGGUCAGGGGUCCAGACAGCAGCAUCCCUGAGGGCCCAGAGAGGUGGCCAGUCCUGUGGUGAGGUUGAGAGGUGUCAACGUGCUGGUGGUCCUCGCUCGCUCUCAGCGCCUCCUCGGCCUCAGCUUCUGCUCUGACCACACUUGAGGAGCCCUUCAGCCCAGCGCUGCACUGUGGGAGCCCCUCUCUGGACUGGUGGAGGCUGGAGCCGGCUCCGUCUGCUUGCGGGGAGGUAUGGAGGGAGAGGCGUGUGCGGGAACCUGGGUUGCUCGCGGGCCAGCACCAGUUCUGGGUGGGCAGGGGCUCAGCGGGCCCUGCACUCGGAGCGGCCGGCUGGUGCCUCUGGCCCCAGGCAGUGAGGGGCUUAGCACCUGGGCCAGCAGCUGCAGAGGGGGCACCGGGUCCCCCAGUACUGCUGGCCUGCCGGCGCUCACCACACUUGAAUUGUCGCCAGGCCUCAGUCACCUCCCCGCGGGGCAGGGCUCAGGACUUGCAGCCUGCCAUGCCCAAGCCUCCCUACGGUGGGCUCCCUGCGAGGCCCGAGCCUCCCGGAUGGGUGCCUCCCACUGCUCCACGGCACCUGGUCCCGUCCACUGCCCAAGGGCUGAGGAGUACAGGUGCCCGGUGUGGGACUAGCAGGCAGCUCUGCCUGUGGCCCUGGCAUAGGAUCCACUAGGCGAAGCUGGCUGGGCUCCUGAGUCAGGUGGGGACUUGGAGAACUUUUAUGUCUAGCCAGAGGAUUGUAUAUGCACCAAUCAGCACUCUGUGUCUAGCUCCGGGUUCGUGCAUGCACCAAUUAGCACUCUAUCUAGCUAAUCUGGUGGGGACUUGGGGAACCUUUAUUUCUAGCUAAAAGAUUGUAAAUACACCAAUCAGCACUCUGUGUCUAGCUCAAGGUUUGUAAACACACCAGUCAGCACCCUGUGUCUAACUCAAGGUUUGUAAACGCACCAAUCAGUGCUCUCUGUCUACUCUAUCUAGCUAAUCUAGUGGGGACUGGGACAACCUUUAUGUCUAGCUAAGGGAUUGUAAAUACACCAUUCAGCACUCUGUGUCUAGCUCAAGGUUUGUAAAUAUACCAAUCAGUACUCUGUGUCUAGCUCAGGGAUUGUAAAUGCACCAAUCAGCUCUCUGUAAGUGGACCAAUCCACUGUCUGUAAAAUGGGCCAAUCAGCAGGAUGUGGGUGGGGGUCAGAUAAGGGAAUAAAAGCAGGCUGCCUGAAGUAGCAGCGGCAACCUGGUUGCCAUCAUUCUUUUGCUGUUUGCAGUAAGUCUUGCUGCUGCUGCUCCCUCAUUGGGUCCACACUGCCUUUAUGAGUUGUAACACUGGAAGGACUGCAGUUUCACUCCUGAGGCCAGUGAGACCACAAACCCACCAGGAAGAAUGAACAACUCCGUACGUGCAGCCUUAAGAGCCGUAACACUCACUGUGAAGGUCUGCAGCUUCACUCCUGAAGCCAGCAAGACCACGCACCCACCAGAAGGAAGAAACUCUGAACACGUCUUAACAUCAGAAGGAACAAACUCUGAACACACCAUCUUUAAGAACUGUAACACUCACCGUGAGGGUCCACGGCUUCAUUCUUGAAGUCAGUGAGACCAAGAACCCACCAAUUUUGGACACAAGGUGACAG